UAGGGAAGUCCAACACGCGAAGACGAAGACGUAACAAAUAUAUCCAGAUAGAAAGCCAGAUACAGACUAAUCGCAAAGCCCGGUGGCGUUACAGAGAGAGAGAGAGGGAGAGAGGAUAUGCGGAGGGGAAGGGGCCUUUCUCCUUCCACCGGACGGCCAGCCGCGGCCGUGUAAAGUAAUUGGCGGAUCCACCGCAGGCGGCGGCGAUUGAGAUCACGGCCCUCGCCGCUGCCGCGGUGGCGUCCGCCAGCAGCUCGAUCGCGUCGGCGAUAGUGCCUGCGGCAGGGAAGGCGAAGAAGGAGGCAGGCGGAGCGUGGCUGUGGAUGCGGUUCGAACGGUUUGGGCAGUCGGAGCUGAUCGAGUGAGACAAGAGCUCGAUCAUCAAGUGCGUGUCGAUUCCGGCAAGGGAUUUGAGGAUUCUUGGCCCGUCUUCUCUCACUCCUCCAAUAUCCUGGUCCGACAAUCUUUGCCAAGUGAAAAGACAGCUCCAAGAAAGUAGUUACUGCACUUGGAGGAGAAAUAGAUCAAAAAAGCAUACAAUUCUUAACAUCACUGACAUGCAAGAGGGUCUGAUGAGCUUAGGCAUUCUCAGAAGUUAGAGCUCCAAGUUUCUACAGACUAUUUUAGCUCUAAGAACAUGCUUGGCGCCAGGGGCUUUGGAAAUGUGUACAGGGGAAAGUUGCCGGAUGAGACAAUUGUGGCCGUAUAACGCUUGAAGGACAUGAUAGGAACAGCUGGAGAAUCACAAUUUAGGACUGAAUCGGAGAUGAUUAGCUUGCUGUCCAUCAGACUUUGUUGCGCUUAAUCGGAUACUGUACCAUCCAGAACGAGAGGCUUCUGGUGUAUCCCUUCAUGUCUAAGGGCAGUAUGACCACAAGGCUUAGAGGUUUGUGAGCUUUUGCUUCACUACACAAAGCAAACUCGAUGGUCGUUUUAUCUUAGGGAAGGAACACCAGUCAACGCAGUGCAGAAAGGAGGUGUAUUGUUCCUUAGAUUGUUGGAGAAAAUUUAAUGCAACAUUAGUUAGUUAGGGAUAAAAAUAUACUAACGAUAUUUUGGAGGAAAAUUAGGAGAAAAUCAAGUCUAAUUGGUUAUAUGUGUGCCGAAUAAUAAGUAAAGGCAAUAAUUACCGUUAGUGCUCCUAGUAUCAAGGAGACUAAGUCAGUGGUUUCAACCAACCCCUAUGAUUUCUCCCAUGAUCUCUUACUAUUAUGUAUAUACGUCCUUUACAAACCCACGUAAUUAAUAUAAAAGGUAUGUGAUAAAUAAUCCAUCAAUAGCAAAUCUUAAAUAAAUAUAUGAAAGUAAAACAUAAAAUUAUUUCAAGAAUUACCUCUCCCAAAACUUCAUUAAAACGGGUAGGAGGUUGUUGAGGUUUACGGUCCAUCCGGACCAGAGAAGGUGGACUUGUUGGAGUACCUCAGCAUGCACUUCUCAUGCCAAAUCAUGACCCGCUUCGACCUGGAGCACUUAUCGACUACAUCUCUGCUAGCGGAUACGAGACAUUCCUGACACAUGGCCACAGAGACGUCUUCGCGGCAAAGGAAGAGGCCAUAGGCGACGUCAGGGGGGCUGCUGCGGGCGGUGAAGUUGAAAAAUCUUAAAGAGGCGUUGGAGUUGGAGGAGAGAACGGACAGGAGGUUGUUGAGGUUUGCUUGGUGCUGUUUAGGGCGUAAGUAAAGAUUGUGGUCCCAGAUAUGUAAUUAAUUAGUUGUGCUCGGCUCUACAAUGCAUAAUAUGCCCUACAAAUGCCCAAAAAGGCUCUGUUUGUUUAUUUACUCAAUUUGCUUCGUCGGCCUCAUCCCAAUCCCAAUCCCAAUGAUCAAAGCUGAACCUUUAUUCAUGGACUGCCAGCAUAUCUGGGACCACAAUCAAACAGCACCUACCAAGCAAACCUCUAGAACCUCCUAUCCGUUCUCUCCUUCAACUCCAACACCUCUAUCGGAUUUUUCAACUUCACCACUGGCAGCAGCCCCCUUGAUGUCACCUACAGCCUCUUCCUCUACCAUGGCGACAUCUUCACUACCGUGUGUCGAGAAUGUAUUGUUUCCGCUAGCAGAGAUGCAGUCAAAAAGUGCCCCUGGUCAAAGCGGCGACGAUCUGGCAUGAGAAGUGCAUGCUGAGGUACUCCAACAAGUCCACAUUCUCUAGUCCAAAUGGACGGUAUUGGGGGUUGUGAAAAAUACACUAAACGUUAUUGAUACCCAUUUUAACCAUGUUUUGGGAGAAAAACAUCCACUGGGUUGAGCAGAAGGACCAUCAUUAGAUGGAGGUUGAGGAGGAGGUGGAGAAUUUACAAGGAGUGGGAGGUAAAGGAGAGCAUAGUGCACAGGGAUCUCCAGAGUCCGAGGAAAUUGUUGAACUAAUUUUAUGUUUUACUUUCAUAUAUCUAUUUAAGAUUUGCUAUUGAAGGAUUAUGUAUCACAUACCUUUUAUAUUAAUUACGUGGAUGUGUUAAAGAGGUAUAGUUGAACCCAGUGACUUAGUCUCCUUGAGUCUAGGAGCACUAACGGUAUAAUUACUGCCUUUACUUAUUCGGCACACAUAUAACCAAUUAGACUUGAUUUUGUCCCAAUUUUCCUCCAAAAUAUUAGUAGUAUGUUAUUUUCCGUAACUAACUAAUGUUGAAUUAAAUUUUCUCCAACACCGACAACCACCAGCAGUUGGAGAUCACAGCCCGAAUUUUGUAAGGUAGCGGAGGCGUGGGACUUUUCCAGGUGAUGAGGAAAGGAAGAAUUGGGAAGUGACGCGAGCUUCCGAGACGAUCUUACGUUAGGCAAGACUUUUGGGCUGUCAGGUCAGCUUAAUUAUGUUGAUGGAGUCCUCGAUUCCAAAAGACUACGAGUGGAGGUAAAGUUUAAUGUUUGUUUCACGAAAAUAUUGAGUGCUAAUGAAUUUGGUCAACAAAUCAGUUACGCGUUAUGGUGUUGCAUACUUUUGAGUAUAAUUACUCCAUUCUGCAAGCUGUCGAUCCCUUGCAAAGAUGCAAUAUAUACCUGGAAGAUGUAGCAUACAAUAUAUCUUUUUUGAGUUCUUCCAUGGUUUUUGUGUAAGAUAUCACCAUAGAUUAACCAUUUUGCUAAGUUUCUGGCUUUUGUGUGCAUACAUACAUGGAAAAGGCCUCAUUUUUUGAACUGUAAUUAUCUAAUGAUAUUAACCUGGUUCGUUAUGGAAUUCCAAGAUGCGCUUAUUUGAAGUUCCCUAGACUGUUGUUGCGAUUCCCUUAAUGUCUUGUGACUUUUUCAUCUGAAUUUUGUAGGAUUGUCUUCCAUCAGAGUUUUACCUGGAUCAGUUUAUCAUGAAAUGGUAGCGCUAAGCUCUUUGCCUCAAGGAUUUUUUUCGUGAUAUCCAUGUCUUAUACAACUCAUAUUGCUGUGGGUAGAUGUUAAAAUUAUGUGCGUUGUUAGAAUUAUGAUAUGCAGAAUGUAGCAAACUGGCCAGGGCUUCAAUGCUUUCUUUUUUUGCCAUUGAAGCUUCGUCCCAGAUAAUCAAAGAUGUUUGCUUUGGCAGAGUUGCAACUUGCAAGAUUAUUGUAAUUUAUUAGACCAUGUAAUUAUAACUGCAGUCUCCUACUCCAUUCC